rnacentral:piRNA from 1 species
UGAGGGUCGCCUGAGCCAUCUAGAAUGGU